AGCUCCAAUAGCGUAUAUUAAAGUUGUUGCAGUUAAAAAGCUCGUAGUUGGAUUUUUGAUAUGAAUAUUCGGUCUGGUUAUGUAAUGUAAUCAUGUACUUGUGAUAUUUGUGUCUUUUUUUGUGAAGUGUUUUGACUGUCAUUAAGUUGAUGGUUUAAAUGGUUUGCAUCGUUUACUGUGAAAAAAUUAGAGUGUUUAAAGCAGACAUAUGUCUUGAAUAGAUUAGCAUGGAAUAAUAAGAUACGACUUUUAUGGUCUAUUUUGUUGGUUUGCACAUGAGAGUAAUGAUUAAUAGGGAUAGUUGGGGGUAUUCAUAUUAUUAUGUCAGAGGUGAAAUUCUUGGAUCAUAAUAAGAUGAGCUAAGGCGAAAGCAUUUACCAAGGAUGUUUUCAUUA
rnacentral:rRNA from 1 species